CUGCGCAUCGACGACGUGGUCUCGCUCGGUGCCCGCAUCACCGAUCGGAUCACCCGGGCCGGCGUGGAUCUGUUCGACGUGGAGUGCGUGGUC
rnacentral:tRNA from 1 species